UACGUAGGGCGCAAGCGUUGUCCGGAAUUAUUGGGCGUAAAGAGCUCGUAGGCGGCCUGUUGCGUCCGCUGUGAAAUCCCGGGGCUCAACCCCGGGCGUGCAGUGGAUACGGGCUGGCUGGAGGCAGGCAGGGGAGAACGGAAUUCCUGGUGUAGCGGUGAAAUGCGCAGAUAUCAGGAGGAACACCGGUGGCGAAGGCGGUUCUCUGGGCCUGUACUGACGC
rnacentral:rRNA from 1 species